rnacentral:rRNA from 1 species
GACGAACGCUGGCGGCGUGCCUAAUACAUGCAAGUAGAACGCUGAAGGAGGAGCUUGCUCUUCUGGAUGAGUUGCGAACGGGUGAGUAACGCGUAGGUAACCUGCCUGGUAGCGGGGGAUAACUAUUGGAAACGAUAGCUAAUACCGCAUAAGAGUAGAUGUUGCAUGACAUUUGCUUAAAAGGUGCAAUUGCAUCACUACCAGAUGGACCUGCGUUGUAUUAGCUAGUUGGUGGGGUAACGGCUCACCAAGGCGACGAUACAUAGCCGACCUGAGAGGGUGAUCGGCCACACUGGGACUGAGACACGGCCCAGACUCCUACGGGAGGCAGCAGUAGGGAAUCUUCGGCAAUGGACGGAAGUCUGACCGAGCAACGCCGCGGGAGUGAAGAAGGGUUUCGGAUCGUAAAGCUCUGUUGUAAGAGAAGAACGAGUGUGAGAGUGGAAAGUUCACACUGUGACGGUAUCUUACCAGAAAGGGACGGCUAACUACGUG